CACGGGGGGAGCAAGCGUUGUUCGGAAUCACUGGGCGGAAAGGGCGUGCAGGCGGUCAGGUAAGUGGGAUGUGAAAUGCCCCGGCUCACCCGGGGACCGGCAUCUCAUACUGCUUGGCUUGAGUACGGGAGAGGAUGUGGGAAUUCCUGGUGUAGCGGUGAAAUGCGUAGAUAUCAGGAGGAACACCGGUGGCGAAGGCGCACAUCUGGCCCGAUACUGACGCUGAGGCGCGAAAGCUAGGGGAGCAAACGGG
rnacentral:rRNA from 1 species